rnacentral:rRNA from 1 species
GACGAACGCUGGCGGCGUGCUUAACACAUGCAAGUCGAACGGAAAGGCCCUGCUUUUGUGGGGUGCUCGAGUGGCGAACGGGUGAGUAACACGUGAGUAACCUGCCCUUGACUUUGGGAUAACUUCAGGAAACUGGGGCUAAUACCGGAUAGGAGCUCCUGCUGCAUGGUGGGGGUUGGAAAGUUUCGGCGGUUGGGGAUGGACUCGCGGCUUAUCAGCUUGUUGGUGGGGUAGUGGCUUACCAAGGCUUUGACGGGUAGCCGGCCUGAGAGGGUGACCGGCCACAUUGGGACAGAGAUACGGCCCAGACUCCUACGGGAGGCAGCAGUGGGGAAUAUUGCACAAUGGGCUGAAGCCUGAUGCAGCAACGCCGCGUGCGGGAUGACGGCCUUCGGGUUGUAAACCGCUUUCGCCUGUGACGAAGCGUGAGUGACGGUAAUGGGUAAAGAAGCACCGGCUAACUACGUG